ACGAACGCUGGCGGCGUGCUUAACACAUGCACGUCGAACGAAGCUUGCUUACGGAUUCUUCGGAUGAAGUAUGAUAUGACUGAGUGGCGGACGGGUGAGUAACGCGUGAGUAACCUGCCCUUCAGAGGGGGAUAGCGUUUGGAAACGAACGGUAAUACCGCAUAAUGUAUUUUGACCGCAUGAUCGAAAUACCAAAGAUUUAUCGCUGAAGGAUGGACUCGCGUCUGAUUAGGUAGUUGGUGGGGUAACGGCCUACCAAGCCGACGAUCAGUAGCCGGACUGAGAGGUUGAUCGGCCACAUUGGGACUGAGACACGGCCCAGACUCCUACGGGAGGCAGCAGUGGGGAAUAUUGCACAAUGGGCGCAAGCCUGAUGCAGCAACGCCGCGUGAAGGAAGACGGUUUUCGGAUUGUAAACUUCUGUUCUUAGUGAAGAAUAAUGACGGUAGCUAAGGAGCAAGCCACGGCUAACUACGUG
rnacentral:rRNA from 1 species